CCCAUCCAGAACCAGAGCUCCUCUCUGGCUCUCUGUCUGCUGGUGGACUUGAAGGCUGAGAAGCACUGAAAAGUGAUGAGCUCUGAUUAGAGUCAUCAGAUGAAAUACAGGACACCAAAUUAAAUAUGAAUUUCUGAUUGAAAAUGAAUAAUUUAAAAAAUAGUGAAUGUGGCUGGGUGGGAGUCAGGACCCAGUACCCAAGAAUACAGGGUUGGCUCAGGAUGUGCAGCUUUCAGCUGAAAUGAUCAACAUUUUAUAGAAGACGGAAGAAAUAAAAAUGGAACUAUCAUAUUUUCAUGAUUUUACUGCACGCAGUACAAGUUACAAGGUAGCUGCAAAGAGGACGUGAGGUGAAUAUUAAAAGCCCCAGGCUGGAGCACUUGCCUCCCUCAACCCCAGUCCGGAGCCACGAAACUUCAAAGCGAAAGGAAGCCCGUGCAUGAGGGGGAGGAAGUGUAAAUUUUUCCUGCAGCCCCUCGGAGUUGUGAACAUUUGCAGAUCCCCCGCCCCAGCGCCCUGCAGGUGUCCGCGUUCCGGUCGCGCCCCGCCCCCGCCGCGCCCCGCCCCUCCUGCUCCCGCUUUCAAGUGGAUCAAGGCAGAGAAGAUGACAAGCCUUCUGACUGAUAGAUACGCGGAGACUUCGCUGGUGAUUUAUUGGCUUUCUGCACCUGACGAGAACCACUAGGCCUAUCUGAGGAGGGAAAUAUAUGGCCUUUCCUGACUCCAAGUGGCAGCCCCGGGGCGAGCAUGUGAUGUCAAGCUGGGCAGGGGAAAGCAGCACUGUGCACCGGCCUGUGUUCUGUAAGCGGGUCCAGGUCAUAAAAGUGUCAGCAAGCGAUAUAUUUCUUGUGGGGGAUCUUCUCUGGGCUCUCGCCAGCGCCUUCUCUCCUGUAACUGGCAGCCGAGCUGGCUGAGGGUGUCCCAGACGCCUAAGACCAGGCUGAUGUAGGCGGUGUUCCGCAGUCGCCAUCCUUUUUGCAGCGUCCAAGGCUGAAGGCUGGUACUGGGUGGGGGCUGGCGGCACCCACUGGGCAUUCUGAUUCGUAGGCGGGCCUGGAAUCCCUCACUUGAAGUCUGGUCCGGAGCACAGUGCAGGGCAAGGGUUGAUUUCUCACAGCGCAGGGCAGAGCCUGAAUGAACUAAUUCCCAUCAGAAAACUGGAUGGAAAUUCCAGACCUAUUACUUAUUAGACAGAGGAUUGUGGGUGAGCUACUUCAUCCUUCUGCAUCUGCUUUCUCCUCUAUAAAAUAGGGACGAUUAUAUGUGUGUGUGUGUGUGUGUGUGUGUGUGUGUGUGUGUGUGUAUACACAUACAUAUAUACACACACACUGAAUGAGAUUGUGCGAUGAUUAGUUUAUGAAGUAAAGUUCUACCCCUGCUCUGAAGGAUGAAAUUAUUAGGAAGUUGCUGGAAAGGGGAUGGGGCGAACCAAUGUGAUGGACCACAGAAAAUAGGCAGAGGAGAGUUGGAGAUGAUGCUAAGAACUCAUAGUCCACAUUCACUUUUUAUGCUAUGCAGUAGCAAGACACUUACAGAUGUCCUGUAGAAGAUGGUUGUGCUUGUCCAAGAAUAAAGCAAUGGUUGAUCCAACUUCCCUAUAAAAUCUUUCUUGCCAGUGUCUAUAUUUCUGGGCCACCCCAUCAUUGCCUAACCAUGUACUGUGUAUUGUCCUAUUCUCUAAUUGCCCCCAUCACCCAGUUUGCCACACUACAUGACAAAGAUGAACUUUGCUUUCUCUUAUGUCUAGAAAUAGAGACUCCAGAUCAUCUAGAAGGAUUUUUUCCCCCUAGGGAACAAAAAGUAAUUUAACUGUUUUUCUGGGUUAUGCAAAUAUGGAGGCCUACCAUAUCCUGAUAGAGAGAGAGAGAGAGAUGAGAACGUUCUGUUACCAGGGGAAGGUCACAAGUCCCUAAGGUCUCUGGCAUGCCAAGCCAAUCCCUGAGCAAGAGCUGCAUCUGUUUGCAGAAGGAGGCCAGGAAUUUCUGAGAGAGAAGAUGUGAAGGCCACCAACUUCUGUUUCUAAAGAUUUGAAAAUAGACCUGAGAGGGUCCACUUGGGUACCCCCAGUCAAGAUCCAGGGACAGAGGAAAAAUUUGGCCAUAGAAAUAAAAUUAAGAAGAAGCUUAUGGAAAACUUGGGUUCAUAAUCCUUGCUCAGUACAAAAGCCAAAAGAAUUGAGAGGGUGACUUGUGUUAAUGUGGCAUGGUGUGACUGUUGCUAUUUGAUUCUCCAAAACCACCUACUUUGACACAGUGAUUGCAUUUUGGGGAAAGAUGCUAAACAUGAGAAUCUGACCUAAAAUCCUUACCUGGGACAGGCUCAUGAAACAGCAUGCCAGGGUGUUCCUCCAGCCAAACCCAAGUAUUAGUUUCUAAACUGCACAGAAUCAGUGUCCAAAAACAUCAUCAAGGGAUAAGAAGAUGAAAGGUAAUAGUCACCCAAUCAAACCCUGGGUCUUAUAUUUUUAAACUUGGAGGUCCCAAUGUUCUCAGGCAAUUCAGUGUGAGGAUAAAGGUAAAAAAGAGGGCAGAGGAUAGGUGGAGAGGAUUUUGAAAAAUAAAAGAGAUUAAACUGCAUUUGUUCCCGAAACUUGUGAAAAAGAUUUAGAUUCUGAUGACUUCCACUGCUUUUUUUUUCUUAUCAAGAACUGAUUUUUGUCUUCAGUUAAAGCAUAGACUUAGUGCUGAACCCACAAUACUGAAGAAGUAUUUGUUGAUGAUUCUUUCCUAGAACUCAAUUCCACCAAGAUAUUUGUAAAUGGAUGAGCUUAAUAUUUUGUUUGCAAUAAUUUUUAAAGGUCUAACUUGAGACUAUACUAUAGUAUGAAGUGAGUAUUCAUAAGAUUAGCUCAUAGCUCUGCAUCGCCCAGGGAGGACAUGGAUCUGCUAUUCUUCUCCAUACUCAACCUCAUUAUACGCACACCUUAAGCAGAGCAGCACCAGCCUCCUGCUCCUCUAUGACAAGAGGGGACCUUCUCCAGAGAGUCCAGUCCUGUGUCUGGGCUCAUGAGUUGGAGAGAAGAACACAGGGUGAAUUUCAGCCUCUGGUUCCCUCUGCUGGGCUUCCUUGUGUAGAGAUUAGCUGAACAGUCUUCUGGGAGGACCAACCCUCAUGCUGCAGUCCUCUCCCUAGCCUCCCAAGAGGCUCAUUGUAGACAGCUGGCCUGCAGAGCUGUGGAAAUCCCAGCUCUGCCAUUUACAGUCUGUGUGAUUGGGGGUUCAACAGUUAAUUUUGCUGAGCUACUUUCCCUUUUUGUAAAACAGGCAUUGGCCUACUUCUCUCAUAGGAUUUUUAUGAGGGAUGAAGUGUUGCCCACUGAGUACCAGUGUAGAUGCUCUAGGCCUAUGCCCUCACAUAUCCAAUGACAGAAUUAGGAGAGAAUUUUGAUUCUUUGAGUUGGAAGGGUUUGGGGGGAUACCUGUGUCCAUCCUUGUCUUUAAGUGGGUAAGGGAUAAUUGCAUAGCAGGUAGUCAGGCUGUGACAACAGCAGAAUUUUUCUGUAGGUGCCCAAUAGGAGCCCUGGAGUCUACUGCUUCAGAUUCUCCUGUCUCAGCCCUCAUCACCACUUCUACCACCUUUCAAGCAGCAGUGACAAACCUCAUGUUAGUUCCCAAUGCUGCAUGCAGGUUGUCACUAGAUUGGCCCUGGGUAAAGACUAUGGUGCUGCACUAAGCUGCAGAGCAUUGCAGAUUGCCACUGUUCCUUCAUUUCAUUGCAGAUCCCGCUGUCAGUUUAAAAAUUUCCCCAGAAGAUGUAGACUUUCAUGAGUGUGUAAACACAGUGAUCCUCAUCUUUGUCCAUCCCAACCCUCAUGGAACACAGCAUGUGCACUCCAAGAUCACGAUCCAGGAAAAGUAUUAAGGCGCACUGAGACUCUCACUUAGCAACAUCCCAACAAGAAUGGAAAAAAGACCUAGGACUUGGAGAGGAGUAAGAGGAGCAUCUCAUUGUACGGUUUGAGAACACAGGUAUCUCGGGAGACCAGCCUAGGCGUAUCUUUAUGAGCCCGGUGACACUGAGCAUCCCAGGGCCAGCUAACCAUCCCAAUUUUCCAGAGGCAUAAAGCUUCUCCUAGCCCCAACAGCAAGGUCAAAGAAUAGGAUGUAUAUGGGCUCUGCAGUGUGGCUGACUUGAGGUAGUCCUAGAUGAUGCAAUCUUAUGCAAGGAACUCAAUGUCUCUGAGCUAUGUUCUUCAUCUAUAUACUACCCCAAAGUCCUGAAAAAUCCAUGUUUUUACCCAGAUGAUUAUAAAACUGAGUAUGUAUUGCUUCACUUUAAUAUUGUUGCCAAUGUAAUUAAUCCUAAAAUUUGUUUCAUUUGUGCAUGCUUUAUGGGUAUGCAUCUGUGGUAAAAAUAAAAUAAAUAAAUAAAUGUUCUUUUAAAUUUUAUAAUAAUGCAUGUAAAUGA